rnacentral:misc_RNA from 1 species
AACGCGCUGGCUUGAUCCUUUGGCUUGAUACUACAAAAUAAAGUCUUCAAACAUCUGUUAUACAUCUAAUGAUUUGGUGUGAAUAUCGAAUAUGAGUAAUUUUAGUGUAGAGUAGUUGACUAUUACCAUUACAAUAGGUUGACAACCAAUUUCAACAAGACAAGGCUAAAGCAAACAUCUAUCUACCAAAAUUUGUUUAGCUUA